rnacentral:rRNA from 1 species
CGUGUAGGCGGUUAAGUAAGUCAGAUGUGAAAGCCCGGGGCUUAACCCCGGAAGUGCAUUUGAAACUAAGGGACUUGAGUAUGGGAGAGGGAAGUGGAAUUCCUGGUGUAGCGGUGAAAUGCGUAGAUAUCAGGAGGAACACCGGUGGCGAAGGCGACUUCCUGGACCAAUACUGACGCUGAGGCGCGAAGGCGUGGGGAGCAAACAGGAUUAGAUACCCUGGUAGUCC